AUGGAUUUAUGAUUCAGGCUCGAGCCACUGAGCCAGAAUCUGAUCUUAGGGUCACCAUUACAAGCACAUGCACAUCAAUCGAUUUGAUCAUCUUCAACUCUUUGAUCCGAUCCCAAGCACUCUUGAUCCGAUCGUGAUCAACUCCUUGAUCCGACAUCGAUCAAUCGCCCAUCUCAAUCCGUGUCCAUCAUGUGCGAUAGGCUUGUAAUUCAAUCAACCAUUGACGUGCAAACACAUCAU
rnacentral:lncRNA from 1 species